rnacentral:rRNA from 1 species
GACGAACGCUGGCGGCGUGCCUAAUACAUGCAAGUAGAACGCUGAAGGAGGAGCUUGCUUCUCCGGAUGAGUUGCGAACGGGUGAGUAACGCGUAGGUAACCUGCCUGGUAGCGGGGGAUAACUAUUGGAAACGAUAGCUAAUACCGCAUAAGAGUAGAUGUUGCAUGACAUUUGCUUAAAAGGUGCAAUUGCAUCACUACCAGAUGGACCUGCGUUGUAUUAGCUAGUUGGUGGGGUAACGGCUCACCAAGGCGACGAUACAUAGCCGACCUGAGAGGGUGAUCGGCCACACUGGGACUGAGACACGGCCCAGACUCCUACGGGAGGCAGCAGUAGGGAAUCUUCGGCAAUGGACGGAAGUCUGACCGAGCAACGCCGCGUGAGUGAAGAAGGUUUUCGGAUCGUAAAGCUCUGUUGUAAGAGAAGAACGAGUGUGAUAGUGGAAAGUUCACACUGUGACGGUAUCUUACCAGAAAGG